rnacentral:rRNA from 1 species
CGUUCCCGGGCCUUGUACACACCGCCCGUCACACCACGAAAGUCGGCAACACCCGAAGCCGGUGGCCCAACCCUUGUGGAGGGAGCCGUCGAAGGUGGGGUUGGCGAUUGGGGUG